rfam:Clostridium sp. CAG:167 genomic scaffold, scf231
AUGAGGAGAAACCAAUAUGACGAAGUCAUAUUUAAGGAUGGUUUCGACGACCUGCCGCCGAGCGCAGGCGAGGGGGCGACACAUAUA